UCCCUAUCAGCUAUGGCGAGAUGGACUUAGAGGAGGAUCAAGUCGGCAAGAUGGACAAGGCUGAAUUUUCAUGUUGUUGGUGACACAUGGAAUCAAUCCUUUUAAUGGCACGCCAUCUUAUCAUUUGAAUUCGAAAUUUAAAUGGAAGAUCAGGCAUCUUGUUAGCGCAUGAAGGGGUGGGUUGUAAUAAGAUAGAUCCUAUCUUGUUUGAAUUCAAAAUUCAAACAAUAGAUGGUUCAUGCGGGUGAGAUGGAUGGUGCUGAUUUGUUUCCAUUCAAUUUGAAUUCGAAAUUUCCAUUGAAAAUUUCAAAAUUCCACUCGCCAUAUCCUCAUUUAGUUGGCGGAUGAAUGAGCCAUCUGAUUCAUAGUUUCCAUGUGACUUAAUGUUUGAAUUCAAAAUUN
rnacentral:lncRNA from 1 species